rnacentral:rRNA from 1 species
GAUGAACGCUGGCGGCGUGCCUAAUACAUGCAAGUCGAGCGAACAGACGAGGAGCUUGCUCCUCUGACGUUAGCGGCGGACGGGUGAGUAACACGUGGAUAACCUACCUAUAAGACUGGGAUAACUUCGGGAAACCGGAGCUAAUACCGGAUAAUAUAUUGAACCGCAUGGUUCAAUAGUGAAAGACGGUUUUGCUGUCACUUAUAGAUGGAUCCGCGCCGCAUUAGCUAGUUGGUAAGGUAACGGCUUACCAAGGCAACGAUGCGUAGCCGACCUGAGAGGGUGAUCGACCACACGGGAACUGAGACACGGUCCAGACUCCUACGGGAGGCAGCAGUAGGGAAUCUUCCGCAAUGGGCGAAAGCCUGACGGAGCAACGCCGCGUGAGUGAUGAAGGUCUUCGGAUCGUAAAACUCUGUUAUUAGGGAAGAACAAAUGUGUAAGUAACUAUGCACGUCUUGACGGUACCUAAUCAGAAAGCCACGGCUAACUACGUG